rnacentral:rRNA from 1 species
AUUGAACGCUGGCGGCAGGCCUAAUACAUGCAAGUCGAACGAGUGGCGGACGGGUGAGUAACGUCUGGGAAACUGCCUGAUGGAGGGGGAUAACUACUGGAAACGUUAGCAAUUACCGCAUACCAUCAGAUUUGCCCAGAUGGGGUUAGCUUGUUGGUGGGGUAACGGCUCACCAAGGCGACGAUCCCUAGCUGGUCUGAGAGGUUGACCAGCCACACUGGAACGGGGACACGUCCCAAACUCCUACGGGAGGCAGCGGUGGGGAAUAUUGCACAAUGGGCGCAAGCCUGAUGCAGCCAUGCCGCGUGUAUGAAGAAGGCCUUCGGGUUUUAAAGUACUUUCAGCGGGGAGGCGUUACCCACAGAAGAAGCACCGGCUAACUCCGUGCCAGCAGCCGCGGUAAUUC